rnacentral:rRNA from 1 species
UACGGGAGGCAGCGGGGGGAAGUCUUGCGCAAUGGGCGAAAGACCUGACGCAGCCAUGCCGCGUGAAUGAUGAAGGUCUUAGGAUUGUAAAAUUACUUUUCUACCGGGGACGAUAAUGACGGUACCCGGAGAAGAAGCCCCGGCUAACUUCGUGCCAGCAGCCGCGGUAAUACGAAGGGGCUAGCGUUGCUCGGAAUUACUGGGCGUAAAGGGCGCGUAGGCGGAUCGUUAAGUCAGAGGUGAAAUCCCAGGGCUCAACCCCUGGAACUGCCUUUUGAUACUGGCGAUCUUGAGUAUGAGAGAGGUAUGUGGAACUCCGAGUGUAGAGGUGAAAUUCGUAGAUAUUCGGAAGAACACCAGUGGCGAAGGCGACAUACUGGCUCAUUACUGACGCUGAGGCGCGAAAGCGUGGGGAGCAAACAGGGAUUUAGAUA